AGUGAACGCUGGCGGCAGGCCUAAUACAUGCAAGUCGAACGGCAGCACAGCAGAGCUUGCUCUGUGGGUGGCGAGUGGCGGACGGGUGAGGAAUACGUGGGAAUCUGCCCAGUCGUGGGGGAUAACGUAGGGAAACUUACGCUAAUACCGCAUGCGCCCUUCGGGGAAAGCCGGGGACCUUCGGGCCUGGCGCGAUUGGAUGAGCCCACGUCGGAUUAGCUAGUUGGCGGGGUAAAGGCCCACCAAGGCGACGAUCCGUAGCUGGUCUGAGAGGAUGAUCAGCCACACUGGAACUGAGACACGGUCCAGACUCCUACGGGAGGCAGCAGUAGGGAAUAUUGGACAAUGGGCGCAAGCCUGAUCCAGCCAUGCCGCGUGAGUGAAGAAGGCCCUCGGG
rnacentral:rRNA from 1 species